rnacentral:rRNA from 1 species
UACGUAGGGGGCAAGCGUUGUCCGGAUUUAUUGGGCGUAAAGAGCGUGUAGGCGGCCAUACAGGUCAGCUGUGAAAACUCGAGGCUCAACCUCGAGACGUCGGUUGAAACCGUAUGGCUAGAGUCCGGAAGAGGAGAGUGGAAUUCCCGGUGUAGCGGUGAAAUGCGCAGAUAUCGGGAAGAACACCCGUGGCGAAGGCGGCCUGCUGGGCAGUUGCUGACACUGAGGCGCGACAGCGUGGGGAGCAAACAGG